rnacentral:snoRNA from 1 species
CGUGAUGAAAUUCACACAGUUUCCUGUCAGUCUGACGACGAAAACGCGUGAGGACGCAAUUCCCGACUCAGCUCACACUGAAGUGCUUUGCUUUACAC